UUGAAAUGUCAGUCACUUUAUUUUUCUCUGGGCAUCAAUGUUGGUGACCCUUUGGUUCUUGAUAUGGUUGUCACCGAAUCUUGUUUUGUUUUUUGUUGAGGGUUUACACGGCCUCUUUUGAUUGAUUUUUUUAUCCCUAAAUUUUUCCUGGACCUCUCUUUCGAAACUUUUAGUCCAUCAGGGUUGCCCUGAUCUUUGCCUAAUUCGCCUCUUUGGGUGUUCGACUUAGCGGGCUUUUUUUUUUGAUGAAAGGUUGUGACUGCCAAG
rnacentral:lncRNA from 1 species